rnacentral:rRNA from 1 species
UGGGGAAUCUUGCGCAAUGGGGGAAACCCUGACGCAGCGACGCCGCGUGCGGGAUGAAGGCCUUCGGGUUGUAAACCGCUUUCAGCAGGGACGAGGCCUUAUGGUGACAGUACCUGCAGAAGAAGCUCCGGCUAAAUACGUGCCAGCAGCCGCGGUAAUACGUAUGGAGCAAGCGUUAUCCGGAUUCAUUGGGCGUAAAGCGCUCGUAGGCGGUCUGUUAGGUCGGCAAGUUAAAUCCGGGGGCUCAACCCCCGUCCGCUUCCGAUACCGGCAGACUUGAGUUUGGUAGGGGAAGGUGGAAUUCCUAGUGUAGCGGUGGAAUGCGCAGAUAUUAGGAAGAACACCGGUGGCGAAGGCGGCCUUCUGGGCCAUAACUGACGCUGAGGAGCGAAAGCUAGGGGAGCGAACAGG